UUUUUUUGCUUGUUUUUCCAACACGUUAAAACCCAAUAUUUUUUUUUCUAAAAAAAACAAUUAAAACCCUAAAACAACUGAACUCAUCAGCUCCGUCAUUUGCCCGGAACACCGGAGUUGAUCGUCGGCGGCCAGAAACAUCGAGAAAGUCAUCUAGCUUUUGUGGUGAUUUCAAGCAUCCUUGCUUAUCUUCGGUUUCUGCUUCAACAAUGGCUGAUGACUCUGAAAAACCAGUUUCAAACGGUUCUUCGAACACAAAAGAAGUAGAGAAGCCUCCAAUGGAGCCUAUAAGUUUGCCAACUGUUGAGGAAAUUCGUGGCCAAGAUAUUUGGAACAAUUGCGCUGUGCGCAGUGUCGUUAGUGGAGUCAUGGGAGGCGGUCUUGGCAUCUUCAUGGGAUUGUUUCUUGGAGCACUGGACAACCCUCUAAUGCAGGACGAAAUGACUGGCAGACAACAGAUUAUAUAUCAAGCAAAGCAGAUGGGACGAAGGAGUUGGAGUUCAGCCAAAGCAUUUGCUGUUAUGGGUUUCGUAUUCUCAGCUGCUGAGUGUGUUGUUGAGAAGGCACGAGCAAAACACGACAUCACAAAUACUGCUAUUGCUGGAUGUACUACUGGCGGUGCUAUAUCAGCAAAAGGAGUGGCUUAGGUGGGUGCAAAGCUGGAUUUUGUCUCUUUUAGGAGACAUCUUUGCUCGGCAUAAAAUGCAUGGCAACAAAAGGUGCACUUUGACAUCAUUGUCUUUGCAGUGCAUACUCAAGGAGACAGGAUUUGAGCAAUGAGCGUGUCUUGAACUAGUGAGUAGUGAGUAGUGAGUAAUGGUGAUGGGAUGCAAUCAAUGCAUGCACACAAGCACAGGUACUCAUGAGCUGGGCUUGCUUGCAUACCUUUGGAAGAGAGAAUGCUAGUUACGACUUCAAAAGAGCCAAGCUUCAAAGCCGCACACUGGUACCACAUUCUCAAUAGGGACUCCUUACUAAGGUGUUACUAAAAGCCUUGAUGUAGUAUGCUAAUAUUAAGAGCCAACAAAUCUACUGAAAAGGUGGUCCGAAAGCUGCAUGCGUUGGUUGUGCUGGCUUUGCCGCAUUCUCUGUCGUAAUAGAGAAGUUUUUGGAAAGGCAUCAAUAAGUGAAUUGACUUGCACCAAUUUU